GGGCCAGCUUAGCGUAGUGGUUACUUCGAAUCUAUCUUUGCAGAAUCACCAAUUGCUUAACGGCAGUUCGAUACUCUGCGGGCACUGUCUGGCUUUUAA
ensembl:vault_RNA Vault Vault RNA